rnacentral:rRNA from 1 species
GACGAACGCUGGCGGCGUGCUUAACACAUGCAAGUCGAACGAAGUGGCGAACGGGUGAGUAACGCGUAUUCAACCUGCCCUUCAGAGGGGUACAACAGUUGAAAAGGACUGCUAAUACCGCAUACUGCAGGAGGGGAUUGCGGCUGAUUAGCUAGUUGGGGGGGUAACGGCCCACCAAGGCGAUGAUCAGUAGCCGGGCUGAGAGGAUGAACGGCCACAAUGGGACUGGGAACCGGGCCAGACUCCUACGGGAGGCAGCCGUGGGGAAUCUUCCGCAAUGGAGGGAAGUCUGACGGAGCAACGCCGCGUGAGUGAUGACGGCCUUCGGGUUGUAAAGCUCUGUUAAUCGGGACGCGGUACCGGAAUAGAAAGCCACGGCUAACUACGUGCCAGCAGCCGCGGUAAUUC